rnacentral:rRNA from 1 species
UACGUAGGGUGCAAGCGUUAAUCGGAAUACUGGGCGUAAAGCGUGCGCAGGCGGUUUUGUAAGUCUGUUGUGAAAUCCCCGGGCUCAACCUGGGAAUGGCAAUGGAGACUGCAAGGCUAGAGUUUGGCAGAGGGGGGUAGAAUUCCACGUGUAGCAGUGAAAUGCGUAGAUAUGUGGAGGAACACCGAUGGCGAAGGCAGCCCCCUGGGUCAAAACUGACGCUCAUGCACGAAAGCGUGGGGAGCAAACAGG